UGUGAGGUAUGCUGGACGUAUCAGAAGUGCGAAUGCUGACAUAAGUAACGAUAAAGCGGGUGAAAAGCCCGCUCGCCGGAAGACCAAGGGUUCCUGUUCAACGUUAAUCGGAGCAGGGUGAGUCGACCCCUAAGGCGAGGCUGAAAAGCGUAGUCGAUGGGAAACGGGUUAAUAUUCCCGUACUUGUGGUAACUGCGAAGGGGGGACGGAGAAAGUUAGGCUAUCCGGGCGACGGUUGUCCCGGUUUAAGCGUGAAGGUGGAGAGACUAGGCAAAUCCGGUCUUUCAUUAACACUGAGGCGUGAUGACGAAGCACUACGGUGCUGAAGUAGCUGAUACUACGCUUCCAGGAAAAGCCUCUAAGCAUCAGGUUACCAGAAAUCGUACCCCAAACCGACACAGGUGGUCAGGUAGAGAAUACUCAGGCGCUUGA
rnacentral:rRNA from 1 species